UAAUCGCCAAAAUAGAAAGCAUUACAAGAGUAAAGGGACUAUAGUGCAAUCCGUAGUAAAAUAUAAUUCUUAAAUUAACUAAAAAAGAUAAACGGAACCCCUGAAUUGUUUCUUCUCCCAGCCGCCGCUGUGCCGAAUAGCCGUCGCGUUGUACCGCCACAAUAGCUCGUAGAUGGCUUACAGAGGAGGACGAGGAAGAGGAAGAGGUGGGUUUGGUGGGUUUGGCGUUGAGUAUGCAAAGGCAGAACCUUUUGUUAUUUUCCCUGACAUUACCUUACCUGACCGUAAAUCAAUCUCAGACGAUACCCAAUUACUUAAGAACUUCAAUUUUUUUGAGAGGUUCUGGAAAAGUUCGCCUUACCACUUAGGCGAUGGUGUUUCAAAGAAAGAGAGUGAGAGUUUAGACAUUGAGAGGUUCUCAGACACGUUGAAGCCAAAGAAGAAGAAGUCUAAUGAGCGGGGAUCUUUCUAUGACUAUCUUGUUCUUAGACCUGAUAACUUCCCAAAAGAACUUCUUGGAGAUACUAGGAGAGAACGGCCUGUGAAGAGAGCAAGAUGGACUCAGGACGCAGAUCUGCAGAAGUUGGAGGCCUUGGAGAAGCUUGAAGCAAAGCUUAAGGCUGAAGGCAAGGAAGAGAAUGAAGAAGGAGAAGGUGAUGAAGAAGUUGAGGAAUCUGAGGGAGAAGAUUCUGAAAAUGGAGAUUAUGAUCAGAAUAAAGACUUUGAUGAUGAUGACGACGAUUAUAACGAGCCGGAGGAUAACGAUAAUGAAGACGUAUAUAUUUAAAGCUUCUUCUUAUUUGUCUUCCCAAAAAAGGAUCAAGUUUUGAGAACAAGAGAUAGUUAAAACUCAAUUAUUGCUUCAUACAAAUCACCUUCAAACCCUCUUAGAAUAAUAUAAUCUACCAAUUGUUCCUUUCCUUCAGUUUUUUUUGUUGCUUUUUAAUAUAUCGUCAGCCUCAAUAAAAAUUGUUGAAGGAUUA